AAAAAAAAUAAUUAAUUAUUUUAAUGGGGGUUAAAGUAAAUUGAUUAAAUAAAUAAAAAAUUUUAUAGUUAAAUAGUAUUGAAAAAGAAUUUUGAAAUAAUUUUAAAAAUUAAAUUUUUAAAAAGUAAUUUUAAAUUAAUGUAUCUUGUGUAUCAGAGUUUAAUAAAUAAAUAUUUGUUUAAAAUAUUCUCGAAUUUAAAAGAGAGAAUUAAUUAUGAAAGUUAUUGUGGCAAAAAUAUUUUAAAUAGUUAAUUGGAAAUGAAAUGUUAAUCGUUUUUAAAUAUAUCUAGUUUUUUUAGAAAAAAAUUUAAUUUAAAAUUUAAAAUUAAAUAAUUUAAUAAUUAAUUAUUAAAUUAUAAUUUAAAUUUUAUAUAUUAAGGGAUAAGCUUUAAUUUAAAUUUAUAUAAUUAAAAAAAAUUUUUAUAAAAAUUAAUAUAAUUUAUAUUAUUAAUAAAUUUUAGUUUGUUAUAAAUAAUUUUAAUAAAAAUAAAAUUUAAUAAAAAUUUAUAAAUAUAUAAAAAAAUAGAUUUAAAUUUUAAAAAUUUAGUUAUAAUGUUAAAAUUAGUAUAUAAAUUUAAUUUAUGAGUUAAAUUAAGUGAUAGGUAUUUUAAAGGAAUUCGGCAAAAAUUAUAUUCACUUGUUUAUCAAAAACAUGUCUUUUUGUAAUUAAUUUAAAGUCUAAUCUGCCCACUGAUAUAUAUUUAUAUUAAAGGGCUGCAGUAAUUUGACUGUACAAAGGUAGCAUAAUCAUUAGUCAUUUAAUUGAUGACUUGUAUGAAAGAUUGGAUGAAAUAUAGACUGUCUUUAAAAUAUUAUAUAAAAAUUAAUUUUUUAAUUAAAAAGUUAAAAUAAAUAAAAAAGACGAGAAGACCCUAUAGAGUUUUAUUAUAAAAUUAAUUUUGAUUAUUUAUAAAAAUAAUAUUUGAAUUUAUUUUAAAAUUUUGUUGGGGUGAUGAAAAAAUUUAACGAACUUUUUUUUUUAUUUUAACAUAGAUAAAUGAAUAAAUGAUCCAUUAAUAAUGAUUAUAAGAAAAAAUUACCUUAGGGAUAACAGCGUAAUUUUUUUUUUUAGUUCAUAUAAGAAAAAGAGUUUGCGACCUCGAUGUUGGAUUAAGAUAAAAUUUAAAUGUAGAAGUUUAAAGUUUUUGAUCUGUUCGAUCAUUAAAAUCUUACAUGAUCUGAGUUCAAACCGGUGUAAGCCAGGUUGGUUUCUAUCUUUUUAUAAUAAAAAUAUUUUAGUACGAAAGGAUUGAAUAUUUAAAUUAAAUUUAUUUAAUGAAUUUUAUUAAUUAAUUUAGUAAAUAAUU
rnacentral:rRNA from 1 species